CCCUGUAUCGAAAGUGGCUAUGGCAUGUGUGAUGGUUGCCAGGUCAUUGAUAAUGCAGGAAGAGUGAACUGAAAGUCUUUCCCGUGUUUGCUGGAUUAACUGUUCCUGACAAACCCUGUAUCUUUCAGACA